rnacentral:lncRNA from 1 species
UCCCUCCUGCUGAACUCUUCCUACCCGGGCUCUGAACACAUCCCUGAGCUGCAGAGCUGACGUCUGGGUGACAGUGAAACGGGGUAUUCAUUUGUACCAAAACAAACAAACAAACAAACAAAACCUGGAAUGACGGUGUGUGGAUUUCUUGUGUGCUUAUUCGUAGGAUUGAGAAAGGGUGAGGCUAAGGUCCCGAGCCUUCGUGAAGCAAUGGAGAAAGUGCCGUCCCAAGGCUCAGUUCCACACGGCGCUGUGAGGCUGAAGGGGCUCACUGGAAGUUCCCCUCACAGGACGCCACCUCACCUGAAACCCUCUUUUUCUGCUACCAUCCAAGGGACAAGAUCUCCUGAGUUGUCGAAGACUCACUCCGGAAGAAAACCCUCUCAGGCAGUUACUGAGGGACUGUGGUCUGGACUAGAACGUGUUUUUCUCAGUGACACCUCUAGAGGGCAGCACUCAACGGAGUCCCACAGACACCUCCCUGCAUUUCCUCCUCAGACACUGGGUGGAUGAUAUGGUAACACUGGGGAAUGCUUGGGUGUUCUCCUGGAAGCUCCUUAUUUUAAUCACCUGUUUACUUGUCUCCAUUCUUAUAGAUAUGUAGGCUACCCGAGGGCAGAGACUGAGUCUGUCUUGUUCACUGUCUACCUCCAGAACCUCACACAGAAUCUGGCACUUAGUAGGUGCACAACAAAAUAAUCAUUGAAUUAGUAUACUGAGUCUUUAACAGAGUCUCUUUCUGUUUAUUGAGUUGACACGAUGUAUCCAAAAGCAGCUGAAUGCACAACUCAAACUGUCAUCCAAGCACACAAAGAAGGCAUUGAUAAAAGCUAUGCUGGUUGUAAGUGGAGAAGAGACUAGAGCAAAGUGAAGCUGCAGGAAAAAGCUGAGACAGGUUACAACGGGAGUGCCAGAGAGAUGUCACUUAAAAUGAGAACUUCUCAGGGUUUGAGAAAGGUGAGUCCCAAGCCCUCGUGAAGCAUUGGAGAAAGUGCCGCCCCGAGGUUCAGGUCCACACAGCGCUGUGAGGCUGAAGGGGCGCGCUAGAAGUUCCUUUCACAGGACGCCACCUCACCUGAAACCCUCCUUUUCUGCUGACACCCGAGGGACAAGAUCUUCUGAGUUUUUCCAUUACUUACUCUGGAGGAAAACCCUCAGGCAGUUAGUUACUGAGGGACUCUGGUCUGGACUGGGAAGUGUUUUUCUCAGUGACACCUCUAGAAGGCAGCACUUAGCGGAGUCCCACAGACACCUCCCAGCAUUUCCUGCUCAAACACUGGGAGGAUGGCCUGGUAACACUGGGGAAUGCCUGGGUGUUCUAGAAGCCCCCACCCCUGAUUUUAACCACGUGUUUUCUUAUCUGAGUCCUUGUAGACAUGUAUGUAGUCUGCCUUAGGGCAGGAAUUGUGUCUACCUUGUUCACUGCCAAUCCUCAGGACAGAACCUGGCACUUAAUAGGUGCACAACAAAAUAACCACUGGCUGAAUAUACUCAGUAUUUAACAGGCAGUUUGUCACAAUCCACUCCCUCCCUGACCUCAUUGUGGUUUAUAGUUUAUGUUUAAUGACAUUUAGUUUCCAUGUACUUAGCAUUUUAUUGUAUAAAUUUCUCAUAUAUAUAAAAAAUACACAUAAAAUACAAUGGUCCUCUUUGUUUCAAUCAUCUAGCUGCAGUAAUCACCAACCCAAGCCUGUCUUUCAUUUGUAUGCCCAGCUUCUCUCCUCCUCUGUCAUAAUAUGAAACAAAUCUGAGGUAUCAUAUUAUCUCAUCCUAAAUACUUCAGUGUGUAUCUCUGAAACAUAACAGAAACAUCAUACCUAACAUCACAAAAUGACACUAAAAAAUUUAACAGUAAUUCUUUAAUAUUAUCUAACAUUCAAUCAAUAUUCAGGUUUCUAAUUUUUAUGUGUCAUAAGUUAUAUUUUAUAGUUUGUUUAAAUCCUAAUGCAAAUAAGGUCCACUCAUUGUGAUUAGUUAAUUCUUUUCAAAAUAUAUUUUAAUUGUUCAUGUGUUCUUUUUCAUGUGCUCUUUAAUGGACAGAUUUUUAAAUUUUCAUUUGGUAAAAUUUGUCCAUUUUAAAAAAAUAACUGGGGAUGCUUUUAUUUGAGGCCAAAAUAUUCACAGGUCAUCUAGUAUGGAAGUCUCUUGGCUUACUAAAAUAUUUUGAUACAGUCAAUUAGGUCCAACUUAAGAUGACCUAACU